GAUGAAGAACGCAGUGAAAUGCGAUAAGUAAUGUGAAUUGCAGAAUUCAGUGAAUCAUCGAAUCUUUGAACGCACAUUGCGCCCGCCAGUAUUCUGGCGGGCAUGCCUGUCUGAGCGUCAUUUCAACCCUCAUGCCCCUAGGGCGUGGUGUUGGGGAUCGGCCAAAGCCCGCGAGGGACGGCCGGCCCCUAAAUCUAGUGGCGGACCCGUCGUGGCCUCCUCUGCGAAGUAGUGAUAUUCCGCAUCGGAGAGCGACGAGCCCCUGCCGUUAAACCCCCAACUUUCCAAGGUUGACCUCAGAUCAGGUAGGAAUACCCGCUUAACUUAAGCAUAUCAAUAAGCGGAGGA
rnacentral:misc_RNA from 1 species